rnacentral:rRNA from 1 species
GAUGAACGCUAGCGGCAGGCCUAAUACAUGCAAGUCGAACGCUCAGUAGCAAUACUGGGAGUGGCGCACGGGUGCGUAACGCGUACACAAUCUACCUCUAAGCGGGGGACACCUCCUGGAAACGGGGAUUAAUACCGCAUAAUAUGCCGAAGUCGCAUGACUUUGGUAUUAAAGCAGCAAUGCACUUAGAGAUGAGUGUGCGUCCCAUUAGGUAGUUGGUGAGGUAACGGCUCACCAAGCCUAUGAUGGGUAGCCGGUCUGAGAGGAUGGUCGGCCACACGGGCACUGAGACACGGGCCCGACUCCUACGGGAGGCAGCAGUAAGGAAUAUUGGUCAAUGGUGGAAACACUGAACCAGCCAUGCCGCGUGGAGG